UGUAGGAGCGGGCCUGCUCGCGAUAGCGGUGGAUCAGCCAGCAUCGAUAUUGAAUGGCAGACCGCAAUCGCGAGCAGGCUCGCUCCUACA
rnacentral:antisense_RNA from 1 species